rnacentral:rRNA from 1 species
CCUACGGGUGGCAGCAGUGGGGAAUAUUGGGCAAUGGGCGCAAGCCUGACCCAGCAACGCCGCGUGAAGGAAGAAGGCUUUCGGGUUGUAAACUUCUUUUCUCAGGGACGAAGCAAGUGACGGUACCUGAGGACUAAGCCACGGCUAACUACGUGCUAGCAGCCGCGGUAAUACGUAGGUGGCAAGCGUUAUCCGGAUUUACUGGGUGUAAAGGGCGUGUAGGCGGGAAAGCAAGUCAGAUGUGAAAACCAUGGGCUCAACCUGUGGCCUGCAUUUGAAACUGGUUUUCUUGAGUACUGGGGAGGCAGACGGAAUGCCUGGUGUAGCGGUGAAAUGCAUAGAUAUUAGGAGGAACACCAGUGGCGAAGGCGGUCUGCUGGACAGCAACUGACGCUGAGGCGCGAAAGCGUGGGGAGCGAACAGGAUUAGAUACCCCAGUAGUC